rnacentral:misc_RNA from 1 species
GAGCGUGCGUCAAUCAAGCGCGUCACGUGACCGCACUGGAAUGUCAACAAUGUGGAAGGUGGGAGGAGCUUGUACGCCACUCAAACUCCGUCGGCUCCCGGGCGCCUGUUUCAUGGAUCCCCAAGGAAACUGUUUCUGAAAACGACGACGAAUGCGGUGACAACAUGUCGCGAUGUUUUCGGCCGACGGCCGUGCAGUGUUGCUGUGCUUGAAGUGCUUGCGCGGCGGGGCCGGCCGACCGACGCUCUCGCAGGAUACCGUGCCAGCAGCUCUCGGUCCUACGUGUAAAUGAUCUGCGCCGUGGUCCUUCGGAGACCAUGUUUGGAAGUGCAGUGCCGCGCAUCGUUGUGACUAGUGCACAUUGUGGUGACGGUCGCUGCUCUGGAUUACACGUGUCCCGGUAACCACGUAGGUUCGGAGGCAAAGGUUUGGGGCCACGGAUGUUGAGCAGCCAGCUACGCAGUGAUGCCACAUUGCACUUUCAAGUAAUCGCAUGCCUCUCGGGGUGUCGCCCUUGGGGGGAGGAGGAGGAGGAGGGGGUCCCCGACCCGAUGGGCCUAGCGGGGGGGGACCUCCCUGAGAAGGGCUGAGGGGGCAUGAUGCGGCCCUGCGGCGAGCCCCCCGGCGGUGGGCCCGGGGGGGCACCGGCACACAAGGAGUACCGCCAGAAGGCGCUCCAGCAGAUUCGCAACAGCCUCAUGCCCUUCGCCCACCAGGGAAGGGACCGACGGUCGAGCGCCUCCUCCACGGCCAGCGAGUCCGGCUCGUACGCGCCGUCCGUCGCCUCCUCGGAGGACACGAGUUCUCGCAGCUCCAAGUGGAGUUCCUCCAAGGGCAUCGAGUUCGGCCAGGAGAAGGAGCCGCCGCCUCCCGCCAUGGUCAACGGGCUGUCCAGGAGCGCGCCAGGCAAGGUGGGCGGCAUGAAGGCCCUGCGCAAGGCGAGCCUGCAGGCCGACUCGGGCGUGCCGCUCUGGGAGCGCUCCAUGCUCGAGGCGACGCGCUCGGACAGUCCGGUCGGCGUGCGGCAACCGCCGCCUCCCCCGGACUUCCCGCCCAGCGAACCGCCGCCGCCACCGCCUCCCCCGCGCGGGGUCGUCGUCGGGCCGACGGCCGGCAACCCCGUGGCCGGCGUCCACCACCACCACUCGCUGCUCAAGCAGCCCCCGCGGGCGCCGUCCUCGGUGGGCGGCUACAGCAGCACCUCGUCGGGCUCUGCGGGGCCCCUCCUCAAGGGUCCCAGCCCGGUGCCCCUGAUGGGGGGCGGCCGCCUCCUGUACCCGAGCGGCGCCGCGCCGCCGCCCCCGUACCCGUGCAGCGGCGGCAGCCUAUCGUCGGCGCCGUCGUACGCCGCCUCGUCGAGCUCGGGCCGCCAGAGCCCCGCGAACACGACCGUGAGCAGCAGCUGCAGCGAGUACUCGGUGGCCUCCGGGGGCUCCAAGUCGCGCGCCCUGCCGCCUCCGCCCGCGUACACGCCGCCGCCGGCGGCGCAGUCGCCCGGUGCCGGGGUCUCGGGGCCGCCGCCGCCGCCUCGACCCCUGCAGGCGUGGUCGGCGCGGCAGGCCAAGUCCCAGUCGCCGGUCAUCAUGCAAUCCGUCAAGAGCACGCAGGUCCAGAAGCCCGUCCUCCAGACGGCCAUCGCGCCCACGGCGCCGCUCGCGCCGUACAACUACGCCGCCUCGUCGUCCUCGUCGUCGUCGGGGCCCCCGACCAUGUCCGUCGCCUCGUCGCGGAUCCACGAACCGCCGCCGUACCCGAGCCAGGUAGCCGGCGGCGGAGGCGGCGUCGCCUCCGUCACGGCCGUCCAGGCGCCGCAGCCCCAGCCCCCACCGUACGCGGCGCACAACGGCGCGCCGCCGCCCCCCUACGCGCUGCACCGGCAGGACCCGCCGCCGCCCCCGCCCGCGGCCACCGUGCCCACCACGGAGCCGCCGAGCUACGCGUCGUCCGUGGUGGCGCUGGCAGCGCAGAGGGCCGCCGCGGCGGCCGCGUACGGCUCCUCCAAGAACCCCUCGCUGCUCGGCAGCAGCGGGCGGACCACGUCGGUGGCCACCACGACGGCGUCCUCGGACCUGGUGACGACGGUGGCCAGCAUCUGCUCCUCGCAGGUGUCGGCCCUGCAAGGGGGCGCGUCCUUAGGGGCGCCGAGCGGUGGGGCGGCGCCGCGCAAGGCUUCGCCCGUGGCCACAGAUACGGCGAGCUCGGCGUCGCGCUCCGAGUCGCCCGUGUCGUUCGUGUCGGUGACGUCGGCCUCGUCGCCGUCCACCCAGUCGGACUCGACCCACGACUCAGGCCGGGGCAAGACGACCCAUCAGUCGCCCAUUCCCGUUCGACGGAACUGGCCCCUCGAGAAGGAGGAGGAGAGGCGAGCCUCCAAGGUGCGGAACUACUCUCCGGAGGCGUACAAGUUCUUCAUGGAACAGCACGUGGAGAACAUUAUGAAGAGCCAUGAGCAGAGGCAGCACAGGCGGCAGCAGCUUGAGGCCGAGAUGGCCAAGGUCGGGCUGUCGGAAGAGGCCCAGCGCCAAAUCCGGCACAUGCUAUAUCAGAAGGAGUCCAACUACAUCCGCCGCAGUCGUGCCAAGAUGGACAAGUCCAUGUUCAACCACAUCAAGCGCAUUGGAGUUGGAGCCUUUGGCGAGGUGGCCCUCGUCCGCAAGCACGACACAAACCAACUGUACGCCAUGAAGACCCUGAGCAAGGAGGAUGUGCUCAAGCGCAACCAGGUGGCACACGUCAAGGCCGAGCGGGACAUCCUGGCCGAGGCGGACAACGAGUGGGUCGUCAAGCUCUACUACUCGUUCCAGGAUGAGCGUAACCUCUACUUUGUGAUGGACUACAUCCCGGGCGGGGACCUCAUGUCCCUGCUCAUCAGGCUGGGCGUCUUCGAGGAGCACCUAGCGCGCUUCUACAUCGCCGAGCUGGUGCUGGCCCUGGAGAGCGUUCACAAGCUGGGAUUCAUCCACCGCGACAUCAAGCCCGACAACGUGCUCAUCGACCGUGACGGACACAUCAAGCUCACCGACUUUGGCCUCUGCACGGGUUUUCGGUGGACGCACAACUCCAAGUACUACCAGAAGAACGGUGAGCAUGCGCGCCAGGACUCGAUGGAGCCAGACAAGAACUGGUCGGAGGAUUGCCAGUGCGCCCGGAGCAAGCCACUGGAGCGACGGCGGAGGAGAGAACAUCAGCGGUGCUUGGCACAGUCCCUGGUGGGCACACCCAACUACAUCGCGCCUGAGGUGCUGGCGAGGCACGGUUACGGACAGUCGUGCGAUUGGUGGAGCGUUGGGGUCAUCCUGUAUGAAAUGCUGGUUGGCCAGCCACCUUUCUUAGCCAACACACCUGGUGAGACGCAGUAUAAGGUGCUCAACUGGGAGACGACACUGCAGAUCCCCAAGGUUGCCCUGCUGUCCACUGAAAGCACAGACCUAAUCCUGCGGCUCUGCUGUGGUGCAGAGCAGCGGCUUGGCCGGAACGGGGCCGACGAGAUCAAGGCGCACCCGUUCUUUGCCUCCAUAGACUUCGAGGGAGGCCUGCGCAACAAGCCGGCCCCCUACAUUCCCAACAUCCGCUACCCGGCUGACACAUCCAACUUCGACGCUGUGGAUGACAUGGUUCUCGACAAACCCCCGGCCUCAGCGCCCGAGCCCAAUGGCCGGCAUCCCGAGCAUGCCUUCUUCGAGUUCACCUUCCGACGGUUCUUCGACGACGGCGGCCAGGCGUACCCUGUCCGAGCGGGGACGGGGGCCGCCCUGGGGGUCACGGGGUCACAAACCAGUGAGGACGGUCUGGACGGACAGGGGUCUCCAGUUUACGUGUGACCAAGGCCCUGCCCUUCGUGGUCUUGAUGAUAAACUUGAGGGGCAGACAGUGUUCGAAGUUACGAUGCGCAUCGAAUAGCAGUGGUCUGGCCGUGCAUCUCAUGUUGGCAGUCAGAAAGGCAGUGCAGUAUACGAGGCCAGGCCCGAAGAUAGCACUCAACUAAGAGCCUGGUGUUUGCACAAGUGCUUGUGGUGAGCUGCUUUGCCAUUGCUGUGGCUGCUAUUGGCAUCCCAGUUCGCAACCGUCUCUGGUUGGUCUGUGUCUGCAGCUCCAUCUGCCGAGAAGAGCUGGGUGCCGGUAAGCAAUCUUUGCGAAGGUGUAGUGGAUGAGGUUCUAGGGAUGUUCUGGGAAUGGCCCAUGCAUGGGAACGACCCUGUCAAAAUGAUGCUGGUCAUCGCAACAUGCCGCAGAGAUGUCUUAUGGCCGAGGACAGGAGUAGCGCUUGUCGCUAAUGAAAGGUGGCAAAAAAUCUUCAGAUGUCUUCGAAUGUCCAGCCGGAAGAAACUCGCACUUGACACCAUUGUUAUCAGCUGACCUGCUUGGAUCACCGGCUACUCCAUCACCUCGCAGCAGACCAGCUGUCGAGAUGACAUGCUCGUUGAAUCUGCCAAAGCCAAGUGAUAGGUCCAAAGUGAUACGAGGGCCCUGCCACCGACAACCUUGCAAUGAGGCGAUGUUUUUUCACCGGCUGCGACCAAAUGAGCCCUCGUAAAGGGAUCCGGCGACAAGUGCCUUGACCAUCUGCGCCAAAAACGAACAAAAAGAAAAAUGAAUGCCUUUUGACAAAGCGCCGCCACAAGAGUCUCACCGCUGUGUUGCGUCGAAGCCUCUGUCUGUAUUUUUGAAGAGCUCUAGUUGUGGUGACUGUUUCUGUGCUGUUACUGUAUUCUUUGUUUUAGGUUUUCCUUUUUUGCUUUGGGAGCAAAGCAAAGCCAAGUCCCGGUACUUUACUAGGAGAAGAAGAGACUCUGUUUCAAUUUCGCGAGAAAGAAAGAAAAAAGGUGUACACACUCCUUGCCGUCGCGUCCCCCGUUCGAGCUGUUUCAACGGGGGCGGCUUGUUUUUGUCGCUGUGGAGACGCGCUGGACUGUGAUACGUACCAAGGCGGUGCUCGGGAAGGACACUGUCGUCUGCUGCGUGUGUGGCGUGGCUGGACAAUGUUUUUUUCUUUCCCAGUGCACGUCCCGGCAGAGGGGGGACAACAGAAGGGUGCCAGCUGGCGUCCUUAGGCGCGAUUGUUGCUUGUUGUUCUAUAACGCUAUUAUUAUUAAUUAUUAUAAUUAUUACCUCUUGUAUCAUAGCUUCCACCAGCUACCUCUCCUCUUGAGGAGUCCAAGCCCUCUGUGUUAUUUAUUUGAUCUGCAAGGAUUUUUGGAGAAGUCUGUGAGUGUCUGUCCUUUAUAUUUCCCUUUGUCAGUUUGCUCUCCCGUGUUCUGUGUGAUUGUUCGUUCUUUCUCUUCUUUUUUUUCUUUUAAAUAUCUUUCGAGGUGCGUUUGGCCUUGGUGUGUGACGACCCACAGCUCCUUGUUUCUUUGAAGGGGAGUUAAGCGGUGCAGCAGUAAAAUGUAGUCUCGAGGAUGCCACCCGGACAGAAAAUGCCAAGGCGGAGACCCAACUUUUUUUUGCACUUUCUUCUGUCGGCCAACGUAGUGCAUCUGUGUCCAAUGUUAAACAUGAACACAGCAUUUAGGGCAACACAUUGUGUGAGCAAAGUGCCUUCUCCGAAAACGUCAUUCAGUAUAGUCUAUUGUGCCUUGUUUACAUGGCAUUCUAGCCUGAACGAAACUCCCUUUCGAAAUCCAGCUUUAUCGUGUGCCUUAUGGGAGUUACCCUGCGUGGCCUGUCUGCUCACUAGUUAACAUAGCAAGCCUUUGAACGCUAUGGUCAGUUCAGCAUUUCUAGCAUUUGUUGGAGUCCCAGUCUUACAGGCUGACUGAAUAGAUCGAUUUCAUGACAGGUUUCGCUUCAUCACCGCUGCUGCAAAGAAUGUUGCUUUAGUAGUCCUUAGAGGGUUCAAGGGCAACUACGGUACAAAGCAUGUUGUGUUGGUUCCAUGAUAAGCCUGCUUGUCAUAUGAGGUCAAGAGGCAGAGAUGUGAAAAGAAAAAGAUUCGGUAGGAGAAUGCCCCGACAUUCACCUAAAAUUUCCUGAAAAAUAUCUGCAAUGUCAGUGUCCUCGGCAUUCUCUUCAUUGUUGCCUUCAACCCAAUAAUUAAUAAAGGGAAAAUGAGACAUCCACCCAAACGUAGCUAAGUGCUACAAAGGAAAUGCAUACGGGUUCCUUGAAAGAAAAAAAACAAAAGAGGAACCUGUAUGGGUUUCCUUUGUAGCACUUAGCUAUGUUUGGGUGGAUGUCUAAUUUUCCCUUUAUUAAUUACUUCUCUCCACCUUGGGGGUUUCCACAGAACUAUUAUGUCAAACCCAACUACUGUGGGAAAGUGGUGAGAGCUGCUGUUGUGGUGCUGACAAAGUCGCUGCAUAUGCAUUCUGAACGUGGUGAAAUCGGUGUUUGUUUGCCAUUAUCAUUUGACGAGAUGAGGCCAGCAUUAGAGGCAGUUUGUAGGACUCGUUACAGAUGCACACUGAGUGUGGAACAAAUUAUUUCACUUGCAGCGAUAUAUAUUUGUGGGGCAGCUAUGCCUGUGUGUUGGUCCAGUGAUUUCACGAUGUGUUUAGCUGAUAUGUUCAGUGUAGUGGGUGCACACGUUGGUGCUGGUAUGACGGUUGCUAGAUGUGCUUUAUUUUCCUGUGUGAAAAAUCAAUGACUGGCAGCUUCUCGAAUUGAUAUGUUUGGCCUGCUGUAAUCUGUGUGCCUUCUACAGUGCAACCUCUUUGUUGAGAACUCAUUGUGACCCAAAGAAAUGAACACUAUCAGUAUCUUUAGUUUAAGAGUGGCUCAACAUUUUGCCGAUUUGCAGUUCAGCUUACUCCGCCGAAAUGCAUUCAAUGAAUUCCUCUUCCAAGAAGUGCAGAGUUGUUGUUGCUUAACUUCUAAAUUAGUAUCGUGAGCACUGUAGUUAUUUUGUAGUUUUGCUAAAGUCUUGCCAGAACCACCUCAAGGCAGGCAGCAUGCAGUGAUUUGUCCCCGUUUCCCAUGCAUUUAGUGUGUCUCUAAUCACACUGUGAGCUCGGGUGAUCUGGGCUUUAUUUGUGGCCACAGGCUUGUCGUCAUUGACCAAACACAUCUUUGGUGACAUCGGUAAUGAUUUUGUUGCUUCUGUCGUCAUCUGACAGCAUCCCAGAUGAAGCUUGCACUAUGUCAUUGUGCGGGUUCCUCGAAAGUCUUGCCUUUGCCUUGCCUGGGGUCAUAUUAUGCAAGGAUUAUUUUCCCUUGAUUCUACUCAUUUCCUAUCACCCGUCAUGGCGAAGGGCCUGUAGUGAUCACUUGCUACAUCCUACUUGCAUUAAGGAGGGACACUCGUCGACAUGGCACAUUUAGGUUACCCUGUGCAAUGGCUUAGUGGCUGUGGUGCCAUGUCUGCUCAAAUCAGUGGGUCAGGGGUUCAAUUGCAGUGGCAGCAAAGAGCUGCCAUCAUGCCAUCCAAUGGCGAAGGACAAAAAGAGUGGAAAAUGUUAAGGACAGCCCCUGAAGUGAAUAAUAUGGCCCCUACCCUCUUCUUUCAGUUUUAUUGUUUCGUUAGUACAGUCAGUCACGUGCUUGCAGAAUAAUAGAAAAAUGCUCUUCUUUGCUAUAUCCCAUUCUUCACUAUAAUCGUGUGUUCGCAACACGCAGAUUCACUAUAACAAGGUCCUGUAAUUACUGUAUCUUCCAGUCUGUCAGUUGCACCUGCCCCAAAACGGCAAUUUUUCCGGAGGAAAAAAAAAAUGAAUAUAAAUCACACCGUUGUAUAGGACAUACCUGUUCAUUUGGCAAGGGAUUUAAAAACAAUACAGUAACAUUUCACUUGGCAAACACAUGUCACGUGCAAGCCUAUAGGUGCCAUUCUUCUAGAAUUGGGAUAGCAGUUAUAUGGACACUCCAGGCGCAUUUCUGCUGUCAUGGUCGCUACGAUGUUCUGUAUAAAGUCUAAGGGCAAUAACGUUGUCCCCAUGCACCGUAUGCUAUAUGUGUGAAGGAAAACAUGCAACAGUGAGCCGAAUGGCGUCCAAGGGAGGAGAGCAGGAAGGCAGCGUGAGAGGGAGGGGGGGUGGCUUGUACUUUAGUAGCAACUGCCUAGUUUGUGCAGUGGCGCAUGCCGUAUCUUGAAAGCGAUCUGCAGAUGCGACGACUUUAGAGUCUGUUGACUCGUGAUUGGCCUGCUGCAGCUAGCCUUGCUUCUCCGUCCUUCUUGCACGACGCUCGGCAACUCGAUUGCGACAAGACCCUGAUACCUCCAUAGUCUGCGCACAACCCAUAGCAAUUGCUAGAGGAGGUCAACCCAGCAUGCUUCACUUGGCCAUAGCAUCCAAUCCGAUUUUGACGGCAGUUUUUUCAGACGAAAAAAAGAAGCAUAUAUAACUCACACCCUUCUAUAAGAUGCACCAACAAAAAUUCAUGAAAAAGAAUUCAACUUAUACACCGGGAAAUGCAGUACGCGAGUUCACUUGACUGAAAUUAUGAUUUUUGGCUCUUGCAGACUGGGAAAUAGACAAACUAAGUGUAGUUGACAUCGGACAAGGUACAAAACAGAAACUAAGAAAGACUGAGCAGUGGCAGAAGUUUUCAAUGGAGAAAAAGUUUGGUGCAGGUUUUCUGGCGUUUCAAGAAAUCUGUACAGGCUGUACUAGAGUAAUUGUAAUUUAACACAGACUGAGAAUGUGCUCUAGUUUCAUAGUUGAUCUAUUGCGACCGCAGUGAGGUGCUCUUCCAUUUUUGUCAUCCACUUUCAGCUGAACUGCGAACACCUUGUAUGAGCCUCUAUUCAACAUGUCUUUUCUUUGCACCAACAUGGGCUUCAUUAGUAGCUGAUGCCAUCAAGACAUUCACGAGCAAAGCAAAUGUGUCGAAUAGAGCAUGCAAAGUCAUAAAGCAAGCUGCCACAAAUCCUAAGCCUUGCUAGGAGCAUUGUUGAAUCUAACUUCGCGCAGUGUUCGGAGUUCUUUGCCUCUCACCUUCCUUGAUUUAUGUGACUAGGAUUAUGAACAAAACUUUAAACUUAGUGGUCAAAAAUUGAAACAGUAAAUCGAUUUGAACGGGUAGAGUAUUUUGAAACCCUAUUUUGCAUUUUUUGACGAGAAGAGCUGACUGCCAAAUUUCACUGCUUGUGUUUGUGCUGCUGCAGCUCCUGCAACGUCAGCCAUGGCACGACAGAUUUAACUUAAGUGGUGCGAUGGCUUAGUGGCUAUGGCUGGAGGCUGAUCAUGUCCGUCAUAAAAGCGACCGCAUAUCAGGCCUGUGUGCGUUACUGUGAGUGUGCAUACGUGCCAAACCGAGAUUGAGUGGUAGCUGGUCGUUAAUCAUUGCGCUCUCUGACUUGUGAAUGAAUGGGUUAAGGAAUUUGUACCUGUAGAUGACUUGCGGGUUUCUAAACGAAGGAACAUAGUGCAGGUAAAGAGAGCAGACAAGUCACCGCAGCAGCUAUGGCGGUAUGCUGCUGAGCGCGAGGUCACAGGUUUGAUUCUCAACUGUGGCAGACGCAUUUCAAAAAAGGGCAGACAGCAAGAAUGCUUGUGUGGUUAGAUCUAGGCACGCACUAAGCAACCCCAUGUGGUAAGAAUUAACCUGGAGUCCCUGACUACAAUGUCUCAGCCCAUGUGUUGCUUUGAGGCAUAAUACCAUGAUUUAAAUUGAAAAACGAGCAGAUGACAGCAUUGGUGCUGCACAAUCUUUGCUCUUUGUCAAGUAACUUAUGAUGAAGACCUGGUCACAUGUAAGAAAUUGCAAACGAUUCAUCUCUGUAGGCUUUGUCUGCCACAUCCUCAUGCCAUGCUGUGUAGAUUGCCUGUUUUCCAUCUCAUACUUGGUAGGCGACAGUGUGAAAGCUGUGAAAGUUGUGCCAUGAUAAAACUAUCACUCUGCAUGUUUUCUUGGAAAGGUU